GACGAACGCUGGCGGCGUGCUUAACACAUGCAAGUCGAACGGAAAGGCCCUGCUUUUGUGGGGUGCUCGAGUGGCGAACGGGUGAGUAACACGUGAGUAACCUGCCCUUGACUUUGGGAUAACUUCAGGAAACUGGGGCUAAUACCGGAUAGGAGCUCCUGCUGCAUGGUGGGGGUUGGAAAGUUUCGGCGGUUGGGGAUGGACUCGCGGCCUAUCAGCUUGUUGGUGGGGUAGUGGCUUACCAAGGCUUUGACGGGUAGCCGGCCUGAGAGGGUGACCGGCCACAUUGGGACUGAGAUACGGCCCAGACUCCUACGGGAGGCAGCAGUGGGGAAUAUCGCACAAUGGGCGGAAGCCUGAUGCAGCAACGCCGCGUGCGGGAUGACGGCCUUCGGGUUGUAAACCGCUUUCGCCUGUGACGAAGCGUGAGUGACGGUAAUGGGUAAAGAAGCACCGGCUAACUACGUG
rnacentral:rRNA from 1 species